CCGCCCAAAACGCGUCACAGAGGCGGGUGAGCACAGGUGUGAUCGCACUUGACUCCCAUCGCAUCCGGGGAAACACUCGCACCGGCCUCCGAAGACUUCAUCAGAACAAAGAAGGCAAGAAAAGCAGCAGCAGCAGCAAUGGGAAGAAAGAGGACUUUGCAGUAUUUCAUAGAAGCUUCAGACAACACAUGACCUGAAGUAAAUCCUGCCUUCACACUUGAUCCGUACCUUGACACAGCUUCCAAAAACAAUGCAGUUGCAGAAUGGUACAAUUGCUACCUGCAGAUAAGGUUCAGUCUAUUCUACAGAGCUGUGAUGAUACAGUGCAUCAGGCCUGGACAUGGAACUGGGAAGAAAAUAAUGGAUUCAUGCUAAGAAGCAAUAAUUUCCCAUGCCAUAAAAACCCGUGUGGAGAUUUGGGAAACUCUGCAAAGUGAGGCGAAUUUUCCCACUGUGAAACAAGCCAUAUUUCUGCUGUUUCCACUGGGAAGGGAACCCACUUCCUUGCUGGCCUUCUGCAACUUAUUGUACCAUUUCUGCUGAACAACAUUUCAAACCUCGAGUUGAAAAGAAUGAGAUGCAGCUUUUAUAGCUGCAAUAAGGCCACCUGCAAUUGCUAGUGUCUCUGAAGUGGGAUAACACUGUUCCUGUGUGGGUAGGAGAGAAAUUUAGCUAUAAAAGAAUGGUUACACUGGGUAUUAUUUGUGAAGUUUGUUUGUGAUUUACUAAAACUGCUUUGCAAAACACUUUGAUUUGCAUGUGGUGGCAUUUUUUAUCUAACAGUUUAAUUGACAUAAAUAUUUAGUAUGUCCUUGCCAAAGAAACCACAACAGAAAAUUAACAUGCAAGUCAAACAGCAAAGGACCAAUUCAGAUCCCCCUGGAAUUUUCUUGGGAAUCGAAAGCCACUUGGAAUAAACAUUUGCCAGCUCAACAAUUUGAAGUAGCCUACAGACAUCUCUCUAAUAGCCUAUGUAAUAAUUGACAGAGCACAGCACAUGGAAAAGAUGCCAGCACAUCCCAGAUACAAGGCUGUUGAGAGGAUUAAGUAUAAUCCUUUCUCACCAAGGAACACAGAAAAUAAGAAAUGGAACUGCAUUGUGUUGAAUAGCACUGAGUCAAAAAUACACUUAUCACAAGCUUUUGGGUUUUUUUUUGCUCAGCAGAGCUUCACUGAGAAGGGAAUGCAAGAAUUCUGAAAAAUAUGGCAUUAUUACCAUGGAACUCCAGGCAAAGCAGGAAAUAAUCUUUAAUUAAUGUGUGAGGAACCUGCAUUUGGCAGACAGAGUCUGCCAAAUAAAGACAGAACAGCAGUUUUCUUAUUUGGCUGAUAAAAUUGACCAAAAGUGAAGAAAUGCCAUAGUUAAGAAGCAUUAGAACAAUGGAUUUUUACUAGGGGACAUAACAGAAAUCCACAGGGAAUCCUGGCAAGGCUCAUCAGGUGUUUUGUCUUGAAAUCAAAGGUGUUUCUGACAGAAAUGUAAAGAAAGAAUCCAAACAUUGUCUGCUCUUACAGACUUUGACUCAGUAUUUGAUCUCAGACCUUGUAAAAGUAGAUUCAAACUUACUCGUUAAUCCUAACAGUUCCAAGUACUGUACUUUGUUUUUUCUUAUUGGUUUUAUUGUCCUUGCCAUUCCAUUUUUGAUUGCCAUCUCCAUCUCCCACUGGCUUGUACAGGUAUUUUUGUCAUUUGUAAAAUGCUGGGAGAACUUGAGAUAAUAGGCACUGCAUAAAUGUCAUGUGUUAUUUUAGUGAAACUGGGACAAACUGCUAGUUUCAAACAUAAUUGGCUACAGUGGAGAAACUGGAGCAUCCGCCAAAAACUGGGGCAAGGUAUGUAUAAGGUGCUAAUAUUUGUCCUAAAGUGGCAGAUUUCCCUCUGUUCCUAGGAGCUCACCCUUAUUAUUUAGGGGUGUGACCAAGAGCUUUAAAAGAAUUUCAUCUGUAUUAAAAAAAAACCAAAACAUUUCCUGGGAACAGGAAGUAAUUCAGCAAAUCAGUGUUUGUUUUUAACAUCCACGAGCCAAAAUUUAAAUCUAGCUUAAGCCCAAAGGGAAACAAGUUGGGCAAUUUCAGCAUAAUCCCUUCAGAAAUGUAUUCUCUUCACGUGAACAGUGCUCAGCACAGUAGCAGCUCUGUGCAGGACAAGCCUCACACUGAAACAUAAGAACUGCUACAGUUCAGCUUAGAAAGGAGAGCCUUUAUUGGCAGGCUUGAUAAUAAUAUCCUAUGUAAAUUCAUAAAUAAUCUUAGCAUAUUGACAUCCUGUAACGGAAACGUGGAAAGCUUGCCUAGGAGCUGCCUACAUUCAUCUUCAUUCUAUCCUGUACUGGCAUUUGUCCCAGUUUCCUAUGCCUGAAGUUCACAAUAUCUGUUUUUAAAGGAACACACUGACCCUUAUAGAGACCAGAAAGCCUGAUUUGCUCCUAGUUUGAAUUUUUACAUCCUCUUUCCCUAUAACAACUGGGUUUUGAAGUGCCAACAAGCCAAAGGAAAAUGGUCUUCAUGGGAGCAAACCUGGCGUACAGAUGACUAAAGAACAUGCAUUUACUGCACCACUGGACCUUGUGUCGAAUAAUGUAAAGUAGCAGUAUGCAACGUGUCUAGUUCUGGGCUCUUCAAUUCAAGAGAGAUGUUGAGGUGCUAGAACAUGUCCAGAGAAGGGCGAUGAAGCUGGUGAAAGGUCUGGAACACAAGCCCUAUGAGGAGAGGCUGAGGGAGCUGGGGUUGUUUAGCCCAGAAAAGAGGAGGCUCAGGGGUGACCUCAUUGCUGUCUACAACUACCUGAAGGGAGGUUGUAGCCAGGUGGGGUUGGUCUCUUCUCCCAGGCAACCAGCAAUAGAACAAGGGGAAACAGUCUCAAGUUGUGCCGGGGGAAGUACAGGCUGGAUGUUAGGAGGAAGUUCAUCCCAGAGAGAGUGAUUGGCAUUGGAAUGGGCUGCCCAGGGAGGUGGUGGAGUCACCAUCCCUGGAGGUGUUGAAGAAAAGAGUGGAUGAGGCAUUUAGUGCCAUGGUCUAGAUGACUGGAUAGGGCUAGAUGACUGGAUUGGGCUGGAUGAUCUUGGAGGUCUCUUCCAACCUGGUUGAUUCUAUGAACCCUGGAACACCCAUGUGGAGCUAAAGCCUGUAGUCCAGCCUUACCAUUACAUAUCAACCCUGGACAACAGCUUUUUGUCAGAGGCUUUAAGCAGCUACCCAUGAACUAGUGUCCUAAAGUCACAAGUCUGCAAAGUUUGCCAUGGCCAACAGUAAUUCUGCCUUCCUGAAGCAAGUCUGAUACAGAUGGAAGUCCCCCAGUGCCUUCUCUAAGAAAGGGAGAGGUGAGAUCAGAGCCCCACAGCUGAGAGCUGCUCUGCAGAAUUAGGUAUUGAAAUGUUUCUGGAAGAACAGAGUAUUUCAUGCUGUGUGGCAAGGAGGUUCAGGGUUUUCUGUACAACAGAACCACUUCACUCAUCCAGGAGAUUGUCACAGCAAGACACUUCCAGUGUACAUGCAUAUCUCCUGGUAAAAGGGCUCAUGUCAUCACCAGAAAAAUAUCCCUCUCUCAGUGAAACAUGCUGUGUAGG